rnacentral:Y_RNA from 1 species
GGCUGGUCCAAAGGUAGCGAGUUAUCUCACUUGGUCAUUCACAGUCAGUGACAGAUUGGACUCCUCGUUCCACUACUUUCUCCCCUUCUCACUACUGCGCUUGACUAGUCUAAG